rnacentral:rRNA from 1 species
GACGAACGCUGGCGGCGUGCUUAACACAUGCAAGUCGAACGGAAAGGCCCUACUUUCCUGGUACUCUCGUUGGGCGCGGGUGUGUGACACACGUGUGUUAUCCCCCGCACUUCGUGUUAAACCUUUGAGACACUGUCUAUUAUCCCAGAGAUGCACUUUUUAUUGUGAUGUUUUUAAAGUGUUUUCGGUGUAGGAUGAGAUCUCGCCCUAUCAGCUUGUUGGUGGGGUAAUGGGCUAUCAAGGCGGCGACGGGUAGCCGGCCUGAGAGGGUGGACGGCCACAUUGGGACUGAGAUACGGCCCAGACUCCUACGGGAGGCAGAAGUGGGGAAUAUUGCACAAUGGGCGGAAGCCUGAUGAAGCGACGCCGCGUGGGGGAUGACGGCCUUCGGGUUGUAAAAUCCUUUCGCUAGGGACGAAGCUUUUUGUGACGGUACCUAGAUAAGAAGCACCGGCUAACUACGUG